CUUGAACCCAGAAGGAGGCUGGCCAUGCUGAUGGCUGUGGCUUCCAGAAACUUUGCAACAACUGGAAUUCUUCACCACGGCGGAGGAGAAGCUGAGCUAAUCAUUCACCUCCCACAUCCAGAAUGUCUCACUGUUGGCUGCAAAUAGAUAACCCCUAGCAACCAGUUAUUCUCCUACAUUCUUCACUCCGGUAGAGUUUGGCGAGUUUCUUCUCUUCUUCAGCACUGCCUCCAUGACACACUGAUGGUGAUGGAGUUCAGAGGGGACACAAGUAUUACCUCCCUAUAUUAGAAGCUGAAGAAACUGAGGUUGGGAGAGAGACUUUGCCUGGGGCUGCUCUGAGGGAAAGGAAAUCACUCACGCCUUGGAGGACAAUCCCUUCUGGCUGGCAUGGCACAACACGGUGACAAAGGAAGAGUGGUGAUUAGCCAGAUAGAUCCUCCUGUGCGGCCGAGGGACAACCUGGUCCGGGCUCUGCCUUGGGACUCGGCAGGCAGGUCACCUUGGGAGCCCUGCCUCACUUAAAUCUAAAUCACGCCCAAGUCCGGACGUCACCCUCGUGAUGUUACUGGUUCUCUUCCAGAAAGAAGGACUGACUAAAACAACACAAAGCCUCACCCUCUCUAUCAGACCAUCGAUCAGCCAGCAUUUGUUAAGUGGGUUAGGCUAGUGCUAGGGACUGGGGAUUAGAAAUCAAAAAAACAAAAAUAAAAACCAGUCCUUGCCCUCAGGGAGCUUACAUC